AUAAUGGAAAAAUCCAAACAGAAAAAAAAUCAAAUUGGAUCUCGUAAAGAAAUACAACUCAGCUAAGUUUGCCAGAACAAUUCUGUUCUAUGUAGGAAUGCACCUCCUAACAACAAAAUCUGAAGACCCCCACCACAGCCACACACCCGCAGGCACAGACACAGAGCUGAAUGUGCACUGAAGGAAAAUCAGACCAGAACUUGAUGCAGAACCUCACUAACCCCAUGGGAGGCAGACACUCUGACCUGCCAGGCCCUGACCUCUGCCUGGAAGCCUAGCCACUGGUGCCAAGACUCUAGAAGGACUCUUAGGCUCUUCAAAGAAGUUGGGGCCUCUGUAUGCAGGAGCUUCACCAAGAAGAAAACUUAGACAAGUCUUCAUUGGUUUUGUUGCUUUAAGCAUUUUUCGGCACUUGUUUGUUUCUGUUGAAUACUUUCUCCUCAUGAAGAGUUGUAAGUUCGCUUUCUAAGUUUGUACUCACUGGUUUCUUCUCUCCCUUGUCUGCAAGAUCUUCAAUUUUAAGCAUCUGUUCCUUGAAAUGAAAACAGUAUUUUUAAAAAGCCUA
rnacentral:lncRNA from 1 species